rnacentral:rRNA from 1 species
UCAUGGGGACUGUGCACACUCUGUUUAACAUCCACUCACUCCUGUGCACCCUCUGUAGUUCUAUGGCCUGGGGGGCUUGUCCUCCUGCUGUGUUUCAAUGUCUUUACACACACACUAUAAAAAGUCUCAUGGAAUGUAUGUCGCGUUUAACGCAAUGAAAUACAACUUUCAGCAACGGAUCUCUUGGCUCUCGCAUCGAUGAAGAACGCAACGAAAUGCGAUAAGUAAUGUGAAUUGCAGAAUUCAGUGAAUCAUCGAAUCUUUGAACGCGCCUUGCGCCCUUUGGCUAUACCGAAGGGCAUGCCUGUUUGAGUAUCAUGAACACCUCAUCUCUCAUGGCUUGCCAUGAUGAGCUUGGACCUUGGGGGUCUGCUGGCCUGUGAUUCAGCUCCUCUCAAAUGAAUUACCCCGCCGGUGUUUGGUGGCGUCACAGGUGUGAUAACUAUCUACGCUUGUGGUUCCCCACCARGUAACCUUCAGUGAUGGAGGUUCACCGGAGCUCAUAAACGUCUCUCCUUUGCGAGGAACGUUUUGACCUUUUGAUCUCAAAUCGGUAGACUACCCGCUGAACUUAUGCUUAUCAUAAGCGGGAGGAACCUCCGCUUAUUGAAUAUGCAU